rnacentral:misc_RNA from 1 species
GAAAUGCGAUAAGUAAUGUGAAUUGCAGAAUUCAGUGAAUCAUCGAAUCUUUGAACGCACCUUGCGCUCCUUGGUAUUCCUUGGAGCAUGCCUGUUUGAGUAUCAUGAAAUCUUCAAAGUAAAUCUUUUGUUAACUCAAUUGGUUUCUACUUUGGUAUUGGAGGUCUUUGCAGCUUCACACCUGCUCCUCUUUGUUCAUUAGCUGGAUCUCAGUGUUAUGCUUGGUUCCACUCGGCGUGAUAAGUUAUCUAUCGCUGAGGACACUGUAAAAGGUGGCCAAGGUAAAUGCAGAUGAACCGCUUCUAGUAGUCCAUUGACUUGAACAAUACUUUUAUGAUCUGAUCUCGAAUCAGGUAGGACUACCCGCUGAACUUAAGC